CAGGACCCCCUACCAGUCCAGGAUUUGGGGAUUACCUGGGUGUGUCUAAGGUAAUCCCUAAACCCUGGACUGGUAGGGGGUCCUUG